CACAACUUUACUCUCUCGCUUACUCUCCGAGGCUACUGCUACAUUGCUACUUAUCGAAACUCGGAGAUUGGCCGAGGACGACGCCGACGCCGAUGACGCGCGAGCCGUUCGCGUUAGUCCAGGCCCUUAUUGGCAUGCCUGGGAACUCCGGCGAAAGCGCGGAUAAUGACAGAAGAAAACGAGACGGUAAGGCUCUUGCUCGCUGCUGGAUUCGGAUAUAUAUCUCCGGGCAGAGCGAAAAGAAGAGGAGGACGAAAAGAGCUGUGUCGAGGCGCAGAAGAGUGAGAGAUGUUGGGAAGAGGGAGCGCGUGCCGGCGAGUUGAAAAGUGGAAGGGGGAGAUACGACUAACGAAUGCUCUCCUGAAAAUAUACGUAGAACUGUUGGCCAAGAGAGCGAAAAGCGUCGAGGAAGAGAAAAGAA